AUUACUUAAGGAAUUCAAGAGUGUAACCAUUGAACAUAUUCCUAGAUCUUACAAUGAAGAGGCUAACAAGCUAGCUCAAAAUGCCUUUGGGUAUUGGCCGAUUCACCUUAGUGUAACAACCUAGCUUAAUUAAGCCAUGUUUAAGUCUUAAACAAGUCAUUAGUGCUUAAAGAAGAACUUUGACAAUAAUUUAGGCCAGUGAAAGUACACUUUUGCCCCUCACAAACUUAAACGCCGCCCAAACAGUAACUUAAGAACUUAAAAAUCUGCCCAACUAAGAGUUGUAGAACUCAACUUUUCUG
rnacentral:lncRNA from 1 species